AAAACUAUGGAUUUGGAUGGAAGCAGCAGCUUAGUGGUCCCCGAAGGUUCUGGAUCAGUUCCAGCAGGACAUGUUCAAGGAAGGAGACAUACAGCCUAUUAUCAUUUUACACAACAGAGCCUCCCAGCUUGUAAGCCUGUGUUGACUCCUACAUGGGUUAUUUCUAUUUUUCUUUUAAUGGGGAUCCUUUUCAUUCCUGUAGG
rnacentral:misc_RNA from 1 species